CCAUGCGUGCAUGAUCACACUGAAAAUGUUGCGUAUUCGAAGAAAGAAGAAAGAGCGCUCAACAAGUUCACGAGGUGCAUGUGGCGUAUUUACUUUGCCCAUACCAGCUCAGCCUGAUUGAAUUCCACCGCUUUCAUCGGGACGAGAGAAGAAAUAUAGCAGUUGCAGCAUGCGGAAAAUUUUUGCACCUCCACUCGUACUAGACAGAAUCCUGAAUAUUGUUACGGUGUUUAAUUCAUGAGGCAAUAAUCUCUUUCAGUAAAUCUAUUCCAUGGUAAUAACAGAAGAGUCUUAGGGCCCCUUCAACAAAGUAUUGUAAAAAUUAUGCUGUGCUACUUUAUUUCGAAAGACAGAGAUUUUUUUAACGCGACGGAAAUACUGGACUCUAAAUUCUACUGGAAUUCCUAACGCUACGGGAAUCAUAAUUCGGAUCUUUUUCCGUGAUAGUAAGUGCCACCAACUAGUUAGUCUUGAUCACUUCGAUGAUAUCCGCCUGGUUGUUUCUUCCCCUAAGAUGCAUCUCUACGUGAGUUGCAAGCUUCAUAACAGGACCUAUUUCGGGGAGGUGUUCCAGAUACAUGAUGGCAAUGGAAACAGUGCUACAUCAAAUGCUUACAAGAUGACACCAAUCUACGACGACUAAACUGACCUAAGGAGAGUUCUGCACAAGAUACAUCAGGGGCAGGCCAGUUCGGCCCCGUUCAUAAUAUAGAAUACGGCCAGAUCAAGUACAAGAUAUCUAACUGCAUGGAAUACAGGUGUUUCCGGAAGAACAGCGCUCACGAUGUUGUGAAGAGUGUAUCGUGUGGAUUUAUGAAGGAAUCGCCCCGGUGCAAAUAUGAACCCGGUGAAUUCCCAGAUUGCUGUCCGACGGAUGUAGACUGUUACUACUACAUACCAAGUGGUAAAGACUGCAUGCAUCAAAAAUGUUUCACAAAAAAGAGGUUCAUUGGUUUAGACUACCUGGAUGUCAAACCCGUAACAACUCGGUCCACGAUAAAUAGGUGCCAGCCAUUGUGAGCAUGGCACCACAGAGGCCCUUUCUUUUCGUGUUGUUUCAGCAUGCAACAUACACUCAAAAGAUGGCAGCUAGGGUAAUAUGAAGCUUGCGAUUACGAAAAUUUGUAAACUGUAGUUGUGACGAGCCGACGUUUUCACCUAUUCAUGAAUAACUGUUU